CCCGGGCCGCCGUGUUCCCGUGCAGGCGGAAAUAUCGCGAGAACAAAAGUGACUAUACCAGUGAACAUGUCAAAAAGGAGGGACGUAGAGUUCUCGCGAUACUGCUUGUGUGACGAAGCGCUUCGCUAUUCCAGGGGCGUGGUCAAGGUGAAAGGGGCGUGUCUACGCUGAACGGAAGAUGGAAGGUGUCUCAGUUACGGCUGCGUGGGCGCUCCGAAGCAGCUUCCGUUGUGGAGGGGACGAGUGUCCGCUCGGAAGAUCGAUCACCUGUGAUUUACCAGUCUUAAAAGGCAAUGCCGACCUCCGCACGCCCCUCCAUGAGUGUCUGGACAUUCUGACAACUUCCACCACCAACCGCCCAGACCUGACUGACAUUCCCUUGCAACACCCAGAUGAGACCUUCUUCACCAAUGGUAACAGUUUUGUGGAAGACAAAAUCAGUCUCUUCAAGCCUUACAGAUUCUUCAGAGUGAGAUCCAGGCUACAAUACAACAGGCUCAAACAAAACCCUUUGUGAUGUUCCAGCCCCAUGGUUUCAAGCCAGAAGACCUGGUCCUGAUAUGCUUGGUUUGUUGCACCAAGGACUUGACUAAAUACAUUCCCAAAUCAGUCUUGGCUACCCAAUCUGCCACUUUAUUUUGUGUCACCAUGUAUGUUGUUCCACAAGUCUUGUAUUAUAAUGAAGAAGGGG
rnacentral:lncRNA from 1 species